rnacentral:rRNA from 1 species
CAGCCGCCGCGGGAAUACCGAGGGUGCGAGCGUUAAUCGGAUUUACUGGGCGUAAAGCGUGCGUAGGCGGCUUCUUAAGUCGGAUGUGAAAUCCCUGAGCUUAACUUAGGAAUUGCAUUCGAUACUGGGAAGCUAGAGUAUGGGAGAGGAUGGUAGAAUUCCAGGUGUAGCGGUGAAAUGCGUAGAGAUCUGGAGGAAUACCGAUGGCGAAGGCAGCCAUCUGGCCUAAUACUGACGCUGAGGUACGAAAGCAUGGGGAGCAAACAGGAUUAGAUACCCCAGUAGUCCCUGUCUCUUAUAA